rnacentral:rRNA from 1 species
UACGUAGGUGGCAAGCGUUUGUCCGGAUUUAUUGGGUUUAAAGGGUGCGUAGGUGGUCUAUUAAGUCAGUGCUGAAAUAUCCCGGCUUAACCGGGAGGUGGCAUUGAUACUGAUGGACUUGAGUAAAGUUGAGGUUGGCGGAAUUGACGGUGUAGCGGUGAAAUGCUUAGAUAUCGUCAAGAACACCUAUUGCGAAGGCAGCUAACUAAGCUUUAACUGACACUGAGGCACGAAAGUGUGGGGAUCAAACAGG